rnacentral:misc_RNA from 1 species
ACUUGCUGGUUUGUUGCAUGGAGCAAGGGCUUUACAUGGGGAGAUACAACAGUCUCAACGUGAGGUCACCCUUUCUGGGUUCAGGUCAGGCAAGUUCAUGACAUUGGUAGCCACAAAUGUGGCUGCUCGGGGACUGGAUAUAAAUGAUGUUCAAUUAAUAAUCCAGUGUGAACCUCCUCGUGAUGUAGAAGCUUAUAUACAUCGAUCUGGACGCACAGGAAGAGCAGGUAAUAUUGAAAAUUUUAUGACUGCUUUCUUUUAAAUGAUGGGUUUGUUGAUGUCCUGAGAGCUGUUAUUUUUAGGCAAUACUGGAGUUGCUGUAAUGCUUUGUGAUCCAAGGAGGUCCAAUAUAUCAAAGAUUGAAAGAGAGUCUGGUGUCAAAUUUGAGCACAUUGCUGCCCCUCAGCCUGCUGAUAUUGCCAAAGCUGUUGGUGUGGAAGCAGCAGAAAAAAUAACUCAGGUUUCUGACAGUGUGGUUCCUGCAUUCAAGUCGGCAGCAGAGGAUCUGUUGAAUACCUCGGGUUUGUCAGCGGUAGAAUUACUUGCAAAAGCCCUUGCCAAGGCUGCUGUGAGUCGUUCCCUCUCUCUGUCAAAAUUAGCUUAUGUUUUUACUCUCCUUAUUUUAUUGUUGUAUUUUUUUUAAGUGUCAUAGGACACGGCUACAAUGUGCAGGGCUACACUGAGAUAAAGAGUAGAUCACUUCUAACAUCCAUGGAGAACCAUGUCACGUUGCUCCUUGAAGCUGGAAGACCCUUCUACACACCGUCGUGAGUUCUUGACGCUUAAGUUGUCUCUAAUAAUUUAUUUAUACAGAAUAGUAGAUUAGGAAAUUAGAGUACUUUAUGCAAGAGAUAAUGCCCGGUAGUAAAUAGUAAUUUAUUCUUGUAGACAGUGACUAAUUAUGUCAAUGUAAAAGUAUAGAAUUUGGUUCUCCAAAUUUAACUACUUAGUUUUGAUGAUAGUUAUCCUAGUAGUUGAUUUGUUUAUACUAGAUGAAAAUUUUCUCAGAUUUGCUUUUGGCAUCCUGAGGAGAUUCUUACCUGAUGAUAAGAUUGAGUCAGUGAAGGGUAUGACGCUCACAGCUGAUGGGAAUGGUGCUGUAUUUGAUGUGCCUGCAGCAGAUCUGGACACAUUUCUUGCCGGUCAGGAAAAUGCAGCUAAUGUCCGCUUAGAGGUGUUGCAAGCAUUGCCUCCCUUGCAAGAAAGAGAUCAAUCAAGGGGAAGAUUUGGUGGUGGCGGUCGAGGUCGGGGUGACUUCAGUGAUAGAAAUGGUGGUGGUAGGUUCUCAGGGGGCAGAGGUGGCAGGGGCGGGGGAUUUUCUGGUAGAAGAAAUGGUAGGUUCUCUAAUGGCUUUGGCGGUGGGAAAGGUCGCAGCGGUGGGAAAAAAUGGUGAAGGACCUUGAUCAAUGGGAACAAAUUUCAAGGAGCCAAGGCCCUUAAUUUUGUCUCCACGGUUGAUAGUGAUUUAUAUAGCAUUGUUUUACAGCUACAGGAUGAAGCAUCUUUUGAUGAUGAAGAAAAUAUGCAUUUAUAGAGUCCGAAGGAUGUAAAGUCUGGAUUGGCUAACAUAGGAAUAUAUAUAUAUAUAUAUAU